UCUCCCACAGCUCUCUGCCCUGAGUUUCCUCCCUGGGGUGUAUUCACCGCCUCCUGCAAUUCAGGAUAGACGCCCAGGUGCUGCCUGGGAUCACUACAUUUGCGACCACCUUCUCGAGGAGUCUCGGUUGGUUUUCUUAUCCGUGAACAGGAGAUAGCAUUAUCCUAACAGUUGUUGAGGGGUAUGUGAGCUAAUGUUUGGCGUAGUCACCGUUCGUCAAAUAUUAUUGUUAGGUCAUGGCUUGGGGUGGUCCAGCCGGCCUCGUGCACCCCGCGAUGUCCAGGGCCCUCCCUGGGAGCCGGUCGGGGGUCCGUGAGCCCUCCAGGAAGCAUGAACGUCGGCGAAGGGUGAGCCCCUUCCCCGGAGAGCCCCUUCCCGGGCCCAACACAAGCAAAAGUGGUUGCAGUCUCCAGGCCUGGCUGCAUGGCGAGGCGUCUGAACACGCAGGGGAUGCCAAGCCUUCCAGAUGAAGAGUGGAUCACAGUGCCAACCAUGUGGACGUGGAUCUCCCCCAGAUGGGCUUCAGCACAUCUGGCCCAUCUGUAGCAUUUUCUCCAUCCAGGUGAUCCAUCUUGCCUCUGCCCAGCGUGGUGGAAAACUUGAUUCUCAUUGUGUAAGCAUGAGAGUUCCAUAUUUCUGCCCCUUGCUCUGAGCCCUGCUGACUGAUUCAAGGGGCAGCUGCUCAGGUGUGCUGGGAACAAGAUAGGGUCUAUUUCAUUGCUCAUUUGCUGCGGGGGCAUCUUGCAUGAGAAAGUCCACUUCUAUCACUGAUGGCACCUGUAUAGAUGCUGUGCUACGCAUCCAUUACAAGGUUCUAUCUUAUCCAGUCUUCUCAGAAAUUCAUGGAAAUAUCAGUCUAUUCCCACUCUCCAGAUGUGAAAACUGAGACUUCAAAAGAAAGGGAUUCACCCCCAAGAUCACACACACACACACACACACACACACACACACACACAGUUAGUUAGUAAAUGAAGUUAGUAAAUGAAGGGGUUUGGAUUCUAACCCAGGGCUGUGUGAUUCCAACAAUUUGUCCUCCUCCCCCUAGCCCCUGCAUCCUAACAUAAUGCUCCUCUUCUCCCCAGUGAGGAAAUCAGGAUAACACUUUGUGAGAAAAGGGAGAACACUUUGCUCCGAGUCCCCCAGUAAGUGAAUUAUCACAAAAUACAGAUCCUAGAUCCCACAUUCUCUCCGGAGCAUUUAUUCCAGAUCUGGAACAGACAAGAGAGAUGGCAUAUGGGUAGCAUAUAUGGCUUGCAGACAGCCUGCUCACACCUUGCUUCAGCCACCUUCCCACAUGCCCAGCGAGGUGGAUACUGCUGUUACUAGCCAGUUAGAGAGGCUCAGUGAAGUUGAACAACGUGUUCACUGCCCAGGCAGUUCACGCAGAGCCCUGGCACUGGCCCGGGCCAGCCCAUUCCAAGCCUCCCAGCUCCGCACACCACAUAUGGGACCAUUUAACCAACAGAGUCAGGCCUUGCAUUCUGUUGUGAAAUUGCUAGGUUGUUUUCUCUUUAAGUGUUCCUGCAAAUAUUAUUUGGGGGAUUCAAAACUUUCUCUUCAUUUAUGCCUCUCUUGUACUCAUUCCUUCUCCAUGUGUGUACCCGGCUGUGUCACAGAGCCAUCAAAGAAACAAAACAGGGAAUUGCUUCUUGCCUGUGUUCAAUGAUAUUCAGAGAUGACCAUGUAUAGAUUUUACCUACACUUAUAUAUUUUGCUCUAUAAUCAUUUGCCCUAUGCUCAUCACUGAAGCUCAGAUGUAUCAUAAAAAUUCAAAUUUACGUAUGUGUGUAUUUUUCAUGAUUUUAAUGGAAUUUUUAAACCUUGGUUUAGACAGUGUUUCCUAUUUGCUAAGAUCCAAAGGGAAGAGUUUAAAGGAGGAAUCUUUUGGUCAAAUGAUUCCGUAUCCAAAAGCAUAACCAAGAAUCCAGACAGGAAAUUACUUGAGAGGUCUCUAACCUGGAGGGGAUGUACCAAGUACCCUGCCACCAGGAAGAGCCUUGCCAGGGAAUGGCAUAAGCCUGCAGACAGCCAGGGCUCCAUCUCCAUGCCCAUCUGAACCUCACUUCCGCAAUUCUCCAGGAGCCAUGUCCUUCCAUUCCAUGGAAGAGCUUUGUCUCAUUAUUUAUUAUAAAAUUACAUGAAUAUUUUCAUACAAGAACAGAAUGUGUGAAGAAGUAAAUAAGAGCACUUGAAUUUCCCCUAGCCAGAGGCCACCACUGUCAAACAUUUGGGGAUGUUAACUUUUGACACCUUGAAAAAGAAAAGAAAUUUGAUUAUGUCUACACAUUUUCAUUAUUGCUGUUCCAGUAAAUAAAGAAAGAAAAGAAACACGCCAUGUAGUUCUGUUUUUAUGAAAUGCAUAACUGGAUGUAGAAGUCAGAACAGUGGUUGCCUCUGGCAGAGGUCUGGGUACAAAGAGGCACAAGGAAACUUUGAGGGGUGUUAGAUAUGUCCUCUUUCUUGACUUGGGUGAUGGUAACAUGUAUGUAUAUAAUUGCCAGAACUCAUUGAACUUAAGACUUGUGGACUUUACUAUAGAAUUUUAUACCUCAAUAAAGAAAAAAGAAAGAAAAGGAAGAAUCUUGGGCAAAUAUCAUAGCCAAAGACCAAGCUGGGGAGGUAAAGGAAAAAAAGCAUAAGAUGCUCAGCUAAGACAUACCAUACACAGAACCUGGACCUUUACAGAAAGGAAUACCAGACUUGGCCCCAUAAAGCAGCCGCCCCCAGCAGCCCCCUUUUGCAGGCCCACGGCUAAAUCCAAGAGGACCGGAUCCUUAACAGGGUAAGCAAUCUUAAGAUCUUGCUGGGACCCACCAUCUACCAAACUCUCUCUUCUUUGAUGCUGUUUCUCCUCCAUGUUUGUAGUCAGGAACUGCAUUUCCUGAUAGAGGCCUGGUGUCCCUUGGAUCCUAACAAGAAUCUGUGCUGAGUCAGGAAGGAAGCUGGAAGGCCUAAAGUUUCAAAUAGAUUAUGUUCCAAAAGUUUCUCUCUUCAUCACUGUCUAGGACUCAGAAUGUUGUCCCUCACAGCAACAGUGUUAAAAAUGGUAAACAAUAGUCAAGGUUUCAAGUUUCUCCACCCCUCAAAAAUCUAUUGGCUGCCUACUCCUAAGAUAAAGGAUUGUAGGCUGGGUAGGAAUAGAAGUGUGUUGAAUUGUACUGGUUGUACUGCUAUGAAAAGCAAAUUCCUUCCCCCUCUCCCCGCCAAAAUGUGCCUGCUCUCUGCCAGACACUGUGUUAGCAUUUGGGAUUCAAAAAUGAAAAAUCUCAUGAUCUUUCCCCUUAAAGCAGUUCACUGUCUAGUAGAGGAAGAUGACCUUGUAAAUAAAUAAGAUUCAUAGAUGUGGUGACAGAGGUUGUCAUAAUUAAAGAAAACAAAAAUAGAAGUGAAUGCUAGUUGGCAGAGGAGAACACAUUUUGAAGCAGUGUGAGUUGUUGGGACAAGGAAUUAGAUGAAGCUCUGUAGGGACACCCUUCAGGUCCUGGGGCACUUUGAAGGGUUGUGGUCCUAGAUCUGAUUCUACUUCAAAAUAUAUGUCUUUCCUUCUCUUGGCAGAGCAUGACAGUUGGACCUCUCAGUCAUGUUUGGGGUUGGUUGGUUUUGACUUUCAAAUUAGAAGGGAGCAGAGGUGGGCAAUACCUAAUAUUCCAAAGAGAAAAGUAAUGGGAAUUUAGAAGAUGUGUAAACCUCGGAAAAGGAUUGUCACAGGUAAAACUUGACCCAGUGGUGAAACAGGUAAAAGCAUCAACCCCAACACAGGGGAAGAAGGAAAGGCCAUUCCCCAUACCAGCCACCAGGGGGUGAAGUUGGGCCAGGAUAGCUUGGUUGCUGUGUUGAAAACAAAGUGGGUUAGUAGACUGUGCCCACAGAUGUAUGGCACCACUUAAAAUCACAUAUUUAGGGGCACCUGGAUGGCUCAGUCGGUUAAACAUCUGCCUUCAACUCAGGUCACAAUCCCAGUUCCUGUGAUCAAGCCCCACAUGGGGCUCCCUGCUCAGCAAAACCUGCUUCUCCCUCAAAAAUCAAUCAAUCAAUCAAUCAAUCAAUCAAUCAAUCAUGUAUUUAUAGUAUUUGGGAAUCAUUUAGUCAUUCAAUCAAUAUAGCGCAUUUACCAUUUAUAAGGAAAUUUGCACCUGACCAGCAAUUAACAGGGCUUAAACAAUUUAGUGGAUCAUGAUUCUUGCUCUCAAAGAUUAUUUGGGAAACUAGAUAACUACUAUUUAGUGUGCCCAGAUAUAAAAUCCCCUAUGUUUUUUUCCUCCUGAUGCUGUUCUAUCACCAAGUUGGGGGUAACAACAAUGUAGGAUCUACUGACUUCACACAGUUGUUCCAAGGACAGAAUGUGAUUAGGAAGCAAACAUGCCUCUGUAAAGUUCCAGCAUUAGACAAGCAUUAAUGUUAAAAUGGUUUGCAGCUAUGUCCUUCUCUUGCUGGUCAGUUUUUCAUCCAACAAAUAUAUACUGUGCACGGCUGCCGAGCAAGCACUGGGAUGGGCGCCGAGGACAUAGAAGUAAAGAAAAUACAAAAUCUCUGCCCUUGUGGAGCUGACAUUCCCCAAUAGGACAAUCUGCUGACAUGAAUAAAAAGAUUCAUCAGCCACGUGAUAGAGGCAGAAAGCUUAAGGCUGAACAAAGCUGAGAAUAUAUAUAUAUUCUGUCGUAUAUAUACCUGCCCCUGUCGUAGGGCAGGUCUAUUUUUAACUCUGAGGAACCUCCACAGUUUUCCAGAGUGGCUGCACCAGUUCACAUUCCCACCAACAGUGCUAGAAGGUUCCCCUCUCUCCGCAUCCUCUCCAACAUUUGUGGUUUCCUGCUUUGUUAAUUUUCCCAUUCUCACUGGUGUGAGGUGGUAUCUAUGUAGGAUAUUGAAAAAUUGGAAGAAACCCAUGUGUCCUUCAGUGGAGGCCUAGUAAAAAAUUGUGUUGCUUCCAUACUACAGAAAAUCAUGUUACCAUUAAAAAGAUGGGAGUAGCUAUCUAUAUGUAGUAUUAUAAGAACAUCUCCAAGACCUGUUACAGGGGGAUAAAGCACAUUCCAGAACAAUACAUAAUAUGAUCCCAUUAAUGUUUUAAAAAACAUUUACCUAAUAUACAGUUACAUGUAUAUACUCAAAUGAGAUCUUAGAGAAAAAUUCUGGAAAGAUACACAAAUGACAACAGUGCUACUUCAAGGGAAGAAAGGGGAACAGGUGGGGGAAUGGUGUGCACCAGGCACGAUUACUGACUCCAAUGUAUGUAUACAACUAUACAAUGUAUACUUCUUGAUGGUUUCGCUUCUGACAAUGAAAGUACAUUGGUGUAUGGCCUGUGUAAUUAAAUAAAGUGUAUGCAUGUGGGUA